UACGUAGGGGGCAAGCGUUGUCCGGAUUUAUUGGGCGUAAAGAGCGUGUAGGCGGCCAGAUAGGUCCGUUGUGAAAACUCGAGGCUCAACCUCGAGACGCCGAUGGAAACCAUCUGGCUAGAGUCCGGAAGAGGAGAGUGGAAUUCCUGGUGUAGCGGUGAAAUGCGCAGAUAUCAGGAAGAACACCAACGGCGAAGGCAGCUCGCUGGGACGGUACUGACGCUGAGACGCGAGAGCGUGGGGAGCGAACAGG
rnacentral:rRNA from 1 species